rnacentral:rRNA from 1 species
CAAUACAGGUGGUGCACGGCGCACGGGUGCGUAACACGUGGGUAAUCUGCCCUUCGAUGGGGAAUAACUCCGGGAAACCGAAGCUAAUUCCGCAUAACAUUCCUUGAACUUCGGUUUGGGGAUUCAAAGCCGUAAGGCGUCGGAGGAGGAACCCGCGCACGAUUAGCUAGUUGGUAGGGUAACGGCCUACCAAGGCUUUGAUCGUUAGCUGGUCUGAGAGGAUGGCCAGCCACACUGGAACUGAGACACGGUCCAGACUCCUACGGGAGGCAGCAGUGGGGAAUCUUGCACAAUGGGCGAAAGCCUGAUGCAGCGACGCCGCGUGGGGGAUGAAGCUUUUCGGAGUGUAAACCCCUUUCGACCCGGACGAAUGUCCCGCAAGGGAACUGACGGUACGGGUAUAAGAAGCCCCGGCUAACUACGUGCCAGCAGCCGCGGUAAGACGUGGGGGGCCA